UACAGAGGGUGCAAGCGUUAAUCGGAAUUACUGGGCGUAAAGCGCACGUAGGCGGCUUGGUAUGUCGGGUGUGAAAUCCCCGGGCUCAACCUGGGAACUGCAUCCGAAACUGCCUUGCUGGAGUAUGGGAGAGGGAAGCGGAAUUUCCGGUGUAGCGGUGAAAUGCGUAGAUAUCGGAAGGAACAUCAGUGGCGAAGGCGGCUUCCUGGACCAAUACUGACGCUCAGGUGCGAAAGCGUGGGAAGCAAACAGG
rnacentral:rRNA from 1 species